rnacentral:rRNA from 1 species
UGGGGAAUUUUGGACAAUGGGGUAAACCCUGAUCCAGCCAUCCCGCGUGUGCGAUGAAGGCCUUCGGGUUGUAAAGCACUUUUGGCAGGAAAGAAACGUCAUGGGUUAAUACCCCGUGAAACUGACGGUACCAGCAGAAUAAGCACCGGCUAACUACGUGCCAGCAGCCGCGGUAAUACGUAGGGUGCAAGCGUUAAUCGGAAUUACUGGGCGUAAAGCGUGCGCAGGCGGUUCGGAAAGAAAGAUGUGAAAUCCCAGAGCUCAACUUUGGAACUGCAUUUUUAACUACCGGGCUAGAGUGUGUCAGAGGGAGGUGGAAUUCCGCGUGUAGCAGUGAAAUGCGUAGAUAUGCGGAGGAACACCGAUGGCGAAGGCAGCCUCCUGGGAUAACACUGACGCUCAUGCACGAAAGCGUGGGGAGCAAACAGG